UACUUACUGAAAUAUAAACAUUUCAUGUUUAUUUUAGUACCUAUUUUGGCUUCAAUUGAAAUAUAAUUUUAAUUUUGAUAUUCUUAUCUUCCUAAACACGAUCAACCUCAACUUUAAUAUUCCUACUUUAAAGGAUCGCUUCGACUUUUAACAUUAUUACAUUGGUAAACGAUAUCGUCUUUACUAAUGAUAUCGUUAAUCCAAAAGUUUGGCCAAUAUAAUAAAAAUACAAACUUAUUUGGGAACAUUUAAAAGGCAGACAUCCAACAAAAAUAAUUAAAGUAUAUAGGUUCGAUUGUGGUACGUUUUAAAAAACAAGAAAUACUUUUGCUGAUAUUUAUCUAGAACUACGUCGUUAUAUUUUACAUUACUGCUACACUACAUUACUACAUUCCACGUUCCACAUUUGUACAUUUUAUAUUUUUCACGUACAAUUAGAUCACAACAUCCUAUAUCACUACACUAUUGAUUACUUUGUUCUUAGUAAUAACGCAAUACCUUAUUCUUAAUUACAGAGUAAUGAAAAGGUAUCCCAAAUCUAAUGUAGUUAAAAAUACCUAAAAGUAACGAAAAAGUAAUUACAACUACUUCAAGGUAUUUUUAACUACUUUAGAUUCGAGACGCCUUUUAACUACUUUCUGGACAGUUACAAGUAGUUAUUAAAAAGUUUAUUGGAUUGCUAGCAGUAGUUAAGUAAUCGCAAAUACCAAUUACACGCGACAGAGUAAUUGUAAUGGCAAGUUAAUUAAGAAUUUACAGCUCUGCUAAAAAUAUGAAAUAUUCUAACGUAAAGUGUUGAACUGUCAAAAAUGCAGAAUCCAACAUAUACAGUGCGCAAUGUAUAUGGAAUACAAGAAUGAAUAAUGUAGAGUACGAUACAAUCCGAAAUACUCGAUCGACGAUUCCUAGGAUGAAUACAUCAAUUGACGUAGAUACAUCAUUUUAGAAUGAAUUAUAAUCGCAAUCUCUAUUCGCACAAUACACAUCCAAUUCAACGUCUAAUUAAAAUUAAAACUCGCUGCGUUGCGUGUCGUAUCCUUCGGAAUCGGUAUCAGGUGACUCUGCGCAUGCGUAACAGAUCUUUCGACGAUUCCUAGGAUGAAUACAUCAAUUGACGCGAAUACAUCAUUUUAGAAUGAAUUAUAAUCGCAAUCUCUAUUCGCACAAUACGCAUCCAAUUCAACGUCUAAUUAAAAUUAAAACUCGCUGCGUUGCGUGUCGUAUCCUUCGGAAUCGGUAUCAGGUGACUCUGCGCAUGCGUAACAGAUCUUUCCAACGUCCCUCC